rnacentral:rRNA from 1 species
ACAAUGGGGGAAACCCUGAUGCAGCCAUGCCGCGUCGUGUGAAGAAGGACCUUCGGGUUGUAAAGCACUUUCAGUAGGGAGGAAGGUAGUGUAGUUAACACCUGCAUUAUUUGACGUUACCUACACGAAGAAGCACCGGCUAACUCCGUGCCAGCAGCCGCGGUAAUACGGAGGGUGCGAGCGUUAAUCGGAAUUACUGGGCGUAAAGCGCAUGCAGGCGGCCUGUUAAGUCAGAUGUGAAAGCCCGGGGCUUAACCUCGGAAUUGCAUUUGAAACUGGCAGGCUAGAGUCUUGUAGAGGGGGGUAGGAAUUUCAGGUGUAGCGGUGAAAUGCGUAGAGAUCUGAAGGAAUACCAGUGGCGAAGGCGGCCCCCCUCGGACAAAGACUGACGCUCAGAUGCGAAAGCGUGGGGAGCAAACAGGAUUAGAUACCCCUGGUAG